ACACUCCAAGAACACACCUUUUCUCAACUGUAACUGAGAAUUUAGCAUGUCCCGAGAUCUCAGCUAAGCCCAUGUCUGCAACAGUGCUGCUGCCAGGACAGUGGGCCUUGAGGCUAUGGUGCCAGAAACGUGCUGACUCUUUAUGUGCUGUUUCAGUGUAAUCUAGUAUUCUUACAUUACAAGCGUGGCACUCUUACACUUAGCUAUGAUUGUGCUUUUGUAUAAAAAUAUUUUACUGAAUUGUAUGCAAGACAAAGAAUUUCACUGUAUCUAGGUAUAAAUAACAAUAAAGUAUGAUUGAACCUU